rnacentral:rRNA from 1 species
CAGUAGCCGCGGUAAUACAGAGGGUGCGAGCGUUAAUCGGAUUUACUGGGCGUAAAGCGUGCGUAGGCGGCUUCUUAAGUCGGAUGUGAAAUCCCUGAGCUUAACUUAGGAAUUGCAUUCGAUACUGGGAAGCUAGAGUAUGGGAGAGGAUGGUAGAAUUCCAGGUGUAGCGGUGAAAUGCGUAGAGAUCUGGAGGAAUACCGAUGGCGAAGGCAGCCAUCUGGCCUAAUACUGACGCUGAGGUACGAAAGCAUGGGGAGCAAACAGGAUUAGAUCCCCGUAGUCCCUGUCUCUUAUACAC